CAGUCACAAACUACAUCACUCGACCCAUAUUAAUAAUGGCAAUCACACAUAACUGAUGGUUAACUAGGAGGGUAGAACUCUCCUUUCUUGUUGAUGACCUAUGCCACUAAGAACAUGGCCCACUAAGAACUCUUUCUCUAAUCAUGUGCACAUGGAUGGGCUUUGUCAACACUUCAAAUUCCUGUGUUAAGAUAGAAUUUUGGUCAAAAAGAAAAUUUGGCACAACACAAUGUACAGUACAAUAUAAAAUAUCAUUAUAAAUAGUUCACACUUCAUGGUACACUGAUAGUUCUCAUGAUCAAAAUACAAGUCUGUUAAACCAUAAGUGAUUACAUAGUACACUAGAAUUGUGGAAAUGUGAUGGUUGCUUUAUAGAAAUAAAUAAAAAAUGGCAACACAUAUAUGUCCUAGCUACUUCCUUUCCUUUCAGCUUAAUGUAGGCCAACUACUCAUAGGCUACAACAAAACAUAAAGACAUAAUAAAUGUAAGAAAUGUCAUUGUACUCAAUUUCUACAAAACAACAGGUAGUGGAUGAUCUCCGGUGACAAAUAUACUUAGUGUCAAUGAACACUAUAAUAUGAUAGUGACCAUUCGUGACAACCCUAGCUAUUCAUCUAUCACUAGAGUACAGUACCAAAUAAAAAGACAUGCUCACCCAAUUAUGUAGGUCCAGUGCAAAUCUGCAUGGUCUGAUGUGUGCAUAUUUGUAAAAAAAUAGUUUACCAAGAAUUAGCUCAUACUACUUAUAUAAUCAGAGACUACGUACUGAUUCAUAUUCUUACUGCACAAGAAGUACCACCUACAAUAUGUCUCACAUAGUUACGCACAGACUAGUACUAAGAGGCCAUCACAAACUAAACUAGUAGGAAAUUAUGUCUACGCCUGUCUCAUACUGUUCUCAAUGCUGAACCUCGUCAGACCAUUUAAUUUGUAAGAAAAUAUAUCCAAGUACUGUCCUAUUGUGACAUGGGCUAUAACAACAGCCAUAUUUAAAUUCCAAACAAAACUAAAAUUUGUUCUUUAAAUUUGAUGCUUAGCUACUAUCGCGGCUCAAUUGAGAUGUAUAAGAGCCAAGCUGUUUAUGUGCUGCUACUUGCAUGUAGGAUGCUGCCUUUACUUAGUUUUCAAUUUUCUAUUCUAUGUGCUGAUAAUAAUGUAGGACAAUAAUUGCACAUAAUAGGAUUCAAAAUAAUCGAACCAAGAGAUCUCAAUUCUAGAGAAGAGGUGUUUUCUGAAAUAGAACAUAUUGGAAGAUAUAUAGCUAAGGGGCUCUACAUGAUUAAAGUGAAGAGCAAAGCUGUAGAUGUGGAAACAAGAACAUUUGUAAUAAUUGAACAAGUAAGAUCACCUUGCAGCCCACACAAGCAAUAUAUAUUUGUAUAUACAUUGCAGCCCACUCGGAAUAGGUGAAGCAAAUGAUGACUGAUGCCUUAACUUUUAUAGCAGCACACACCUAGAAAAGUAGUAAUGAAUUAUCUUUGAAUUAAAAAUUCUAUGAUUCAGCAAGCUAUUUCCUCGAGGCAAAAUGAAUUAGUUCAAAUGAUGACUGAUGCCUUAACUUUUAUAGCAGCACACACCUAGAAAAGUAGUAAUGAAUUAUCUUUGAAUUAAAAAUUCUAUGAUUCAGCAAGCUAUUUCCUCGAGGCAAAAUGAAUUAGUUAUAUACUAAACAAAUCAGCAGAAAAUGAUCAUAGAAUAGACACUGCUCACUACUACAGAAUGAGGCAUUGGUCGAUGCCCAAAAUGGCCAAAAACCUCGGCCUUUGCGGCCCGGGGUUAAAGACCCCUUUAGCACCGGCCAGCGCCACAGGCCGAGGCAAAGCCUUUAGAACUGGUUUUUAACACAAACCGGUGCUAAAGGGUGACCCUUUAGCACCGGUUUUGUCCCUGAACCGGUUCUAAAGGUCCGGUUUAUAGGCCGGAUCACACCUCUCUGCCCAUUUGAAACCGAGAGCACCAUUCACCAUUGUUGUUCUUGGAGCUUCUUCUUCCUCAUUUGUUCUUCAUCUCCGACGCCCAUUGUUGAUCUUCUUCGACUCUGUCAUCGUUUCUUCGUGUUUGGAGGUGACUAACUUUUGUCUUUCUUGUCUUUUUCAUGUUGUUUUUGGCUUGUGAUGUUCCCAUUAUUUUUAGCUCAAAUCCACGUUGUUAUUUUGAAUCAUUCAUAUGAAUUAGUAUCCAUAUAUAUAUAUCAUAUUUCAUGGUUGACCUAGUAUUAAUGUAGUUUGCAAGAAUGAAUUAUAGUAUCUUUUUAUGAUCUUAGAAAGUAGGAUAGUUCAAAUUAAUUGGUUUGUUAAUAUCACUUGAUUUAUUUUUAUUACUACAUAAUGUCUAUUGUAUAAUUUAGAAGAUUUGUUGAAGUAACUAGACAAAUAAAGGAUAUUAUUAUGUUCUUCUUUAAUCAUACAUGUUUACUAGUAAAUGUGGAAUUUAUAAUAGUUUAAAAAUUGAGUAUGGAUAGUAGGUGGCAACCGUGACCGGGACUUCGGUCUCUCAACGGGUUCAAAAGCGAUACCGUCCGGAACUCCCUCUCAUUACUUGUGGCAAGUGUGGGCAGAAGAUUUUGAUGGAGUACAAAGUGUCGAAAGAGGGAGUAAACAAGGGUCGUAUAUUCUACAAGUGUCCGGAUCGUAAUGCGAGUUAUUUCCAGACAUUUGCUUAUAUAUGUGCAUAUUUUUUUAAAUGAUAUUAAAUAAACUUUUGAUUCUCUCUUUUAAUUUCAGUGGGACGGUACCGGCGGAUGUACAGGUUGGUACUGGGAGGAAGAAUACAUUGAACACAUUAAGAAAUCUUUUGCACAGGUGGUUGAGGCUGAAGGUGGUGAGGCCGUGAGCCGACGAAAGGAGUUCAAUGACGUUGAUCAAGCGAAUGAUCUAUCUAUUAUAGUUGGGAUCGGACGCGAACUAAUUAUGUUGCUUAAGUGCAUUUUAGUUUUGACUUUUUUAGUGCUAGUUGCGAUUGUAUUUGUUGUAGCCAAGCUUUCCUAAAUUAAUCAACUAUGUAUCUUAGACAUGUUGUGCAAUAAGAUGAGAAACUAUAUGUGUGCAUGGUUUUCAUAAUAUAUAUGUUAUAUUUAAUGCAGAUGGUAACACGUAAUUGGAUGUAUAAUGCCGAUCGGCGCUCCGAAGAGUUCAUUAAUGGCGUGCACUAUUUCUUAAGUGUGGCCGAGACAAAUAAGAGGGACAGUUUCAUGUGCUGUCCAUGUGCCGUGUGUAAGAAUUUGACAGAAUAUUCUAACUCAAGAACUCUUCAUUCACACUUAUUAAAGUCUGGUUUUGUACCCAACUAUAUUUGUUGGACCAAACAUGGAGAAAGCGGGAUUAUAAUGGAUGAAGGUGAAGAAGAAGAAGAAGAAUUGGACCAUGCCAAUAUUAUUGCUCGGUACGGUGGCUUCAAUAAUGUUGCAAUGGGGGAAGAUAAUGAAGAAGAGGUAGCGGCACAAGAUGAUCGGGGCGAUGAUGCUUUUGGUGAUGCCAUCCGUGAUGCACAAAGAGAAUGUGAAAGUGAUAAAGAGAAAGCCAAGUUCGAGCGCAUGCUAGAGGACCACAGGAAAUCGCUAUAUCCCACCGCUGAAGAGGGGCAAAAAAAGCUGGGUACCACACUAGAAUUGUUGCAAUGGAAGGCAAAGAAUGGUACAUCUGACAAGGCAUUUGGGCAGUUAUUGAAGAUCAUAAAAAAGAUGCUUCCGAAAGGCAACAAAUUGCCCACCACUACGUAUGAAGCAAAACAGGUUGUCUGCCCUUUGGGAUUAGAAAUCCAGAAGAUACACGCAUGUCCUAAUGACUGCAUCCCCUACCGUGGGGAGGAAUACGAGAAUUUGGAUGCAUGUCCAGUAUGUAAGGCAUCACGGUAUAAGAUUAGACGAGAUGAUCCUAGCGAUGUUGAGGGUGAAGAACGUCAUAGGAAGAAAAUUCCUGCCAAGGUUAUGUGGUAUGCUCCUAUAAUACCACGAUUAAAAUGUCUAUUCAGAAAUAAGGACAAUGCAAAGUUGUUGCGGUGGCAUAAAGAAGACCGUAAGAUAGACAAUAUGCUGAGACACCCUGCCGAUGGAUCCCAGUGGAGAGCGAUAGACAGAGAAUUCCCAGAUUUUGCAGAUGAUGCUAGAAACUUGCGGUUCGCCUUAAGUAUAGAUGGUAUGAAUCCUUUCGGUGAGCAGAGCAGUAGUCACAGCACUUGGCCAGUUACUCUAUGUAUCUACAACCUUCCUCCAUGGCUAUGCAUGAAGCAGAAGUUUAUUAUGAUGCCGGUGCUUAUCCAAGGACCGAAGCAACCUGGCAAUGACAUAGAUGUCUACCUAAGGCCAUUAGUUGAGGAACUUCAACUUUUAUGGAGCAAACCAGGAGUUCGCGUGUGGGAUGAGUACAAACAAGAGCACUUUGACCUGCGAGCAUUGCUGUUUGUAACAAUCAAUGAUUGGCUAGCUCUGAGUAAUCUUUCAGGCCAGUCAAGCAAAGGAUAUAAUGCAUGCACACAUUGUUAUGAAGACCUUGACUGUGUAUUUUUGAAAAAAUGUUGAAAGGUCGUGUACCUUGGCCACCGUCGGUUUCUUUCUGUGAACCACCCAGUACGAAAGAAAGGCAAGCAUUUUAAAGGCAAGGCAGACCACCGGACCAAACCUCUCAAUCGAACCGGGGAUGAUGUACUCGAAAUGGUCAAGGAUAUAAAAGUGGUAUCUUGAAAGGGACGAGGCAGCGAACCUAUUCCCAAGGAUGCUUAGGGACAUGUACCCAUGUGGAAGAAGAAAUCCAUAUUUUGGGAGCUACCUUACUGGAAUGUCCUAGAGGUCCGCAACGCGAUCGACGUGAUGCAUCUGACAAAGAAUCUUUAUGUGAACUUGCUCGGAUUCAUGGGUGUCUACGGGAAGUCUAAGGAUUCACUUGAAGCACGACAAGACUUGCAGCGCAUGAAAUAACGAGACAACCUGCAUCCAGAAAAGACAGAUGAUGGACGUCAUUACUUAAGCCCUGCUAGCUACACUCUGAGUAAAGAAGAGAAGGAAAGCAUGUUUGAAUGUCUUAGCAGCAUCAACGUCCCAUCUAGAUUCUCCUCCAAUAUCAAGGGAAUAAUUAAUGUGCCAGAGAAGAAAUUCCUGAACUUGAAGUCCCAUGACUGUCAUGUUCUAAUGACACAAUUGCUGCCGGUCGUUUUAAGAGGAAUUUUACCUCCACACGUACGUCUAGCCAUCGUAAAUCUAUGUGCUUUCCUCAAUGCAAUUUCUCAGAAGGCAAUCAAUCCAGAGCAACUAGCUACUCUGCAGAAUGAUGUCGUUCAAUGUCUCGUCAGCUUUGAGUUGGUGUUCCCUCCAUCCUUCUUCGAUAUCAUGACACACCUCCUAGUUCAUCUGGUCAAAGAGAUUCGUAUUCUCGGUCCUGUGUUCCUACAGAACAUGUUCCCCUUCGAGAGAUUCAUGGGUGUCCUAAAGAAAUAUGUCCAUAGUCGUUCCCGGCCAGAAGGAAGCAUUGCCAAGGGCUACGGAACAGAGGAGGUCAUAGAGUUCUGUGUUGACUUUAUUCCAAACCUUGACCCAAUUGGCAUUCCUGAAUCUCAACACGAGGGCAGACUCAGCGGAAAGGGAACACUUGGGAAGAAAACAUAUAUUGGUACGGGAGACGAUUACUUCAAUAAAGCACACUACACAGUUCUCCAGAACUCCUCAUUGGUGGAACAAUAUGUUGAGGUACACAUAGAUUUCCUACGGUCCCAGUGGCCCGGGAAGAAUGAAGCUUGGAUAAUGCGUCAGCACAUGGAAACUUUUGGCGAUUGGUUGCACAAAAAAUGUCAAGGUGAUGAAAACAUUGAUGAGCAGCUUUAUUUGUUGGCCAGGCAACCAUCAUGGCAUGUCCUCACGUACAAAGGGUACGAGAUAAAUGGUAACACAUUUUACACAGUUGGCCAAGAUAAAAGCAGCACCAACCAAAAUAGUGGUGUACGCGUGGAUGCCACGGAUCCAAAUGGAAACAGACAAACAUAUUAUGGACGCAUAGAAGACAUAUGGGAACUAGUCUAUGCAACUAAUUUUAAAGUUCCUUUGUUCCGGUGCCAAUGGGUGAAGAUGACCGGAGGUGAGAUAACAGUCGACAGGAGUAUGGGAUGAAAAGUUGACCAUUAGACAAAAUGUAGAACUUGAUGAGUGUAGCAAACUUUGUAUUCAUGACUUUUCCAUUUGGGACAAUCUAGGGUUCGGUCAAAGGGUGUUUUUAUAAAAACCAAUGCUUUGACUUUGGUCAAACUUGAUCAAAUGGCCCAUUUGAUGACUUCACAUGAAAAACUUUUGAAUACAAAGUUGUUAGAGAUCAUCAAGAUCUACAUUUGAUAUAUUGACCAUUUUUCCAUUUGGAUAAAUUUGAGCCAAUCCGAAGCACAUUUGUUCAAAAUCCAAGACGGGUUUUGGUCAAACUUGGUCAAAUGACAAACUAAAUUACUUCAAAUGAAAAAUUUUUGAAUACCAAGUUGUUAGAUAUCAUCAAGAUCUAAACUUUUUAUAUACACAAUUUUUCCAUUUGAGAAAGUUUAAGUUAACAAUACCCACCAAUUCUUAAAUCUCACACAAACAAUAUGAAACUAUAUGUGUCAAUUGUGGAUUUUCAACUACACCUUCCCAAAACUUUGUCAAAUGCAAAAAUGGUCUAUAUAUUAAAUGUAGAUUUUGAUGAGUGGAACAAUAUUGGUAUUCAUGACUUUUCCAUUCGAGACCAUCUAGGGUUCCGAAACCGCUGCGUGGCUAUGAAUUCUAUGAAAAUUCAAAAUUCAGUGGUUCAAACUUUUCCAAAUGAAAAGUUGACCAUUAGACAAAAUGUAGAACUUGAUGAGUGUAGCAAACUUUGUAUUCAUGACUUUUCCAUUUGGGACAAUCUAGGGUUUGGUCAAAGGGUGUGUUCAUCAAGAUAUAUAUUUUUAUAUGAUUUUUUAUUUGAUGAAAACUAUACCCAACUAGCAUUCCUAGUAAUAAAUAACCAAAAUAUAAAGUUUUACGUCAAUAUGAUGUGAAAAUAAAUUUCCAGUUGAUUGGAUAUAGUUUUUGUAAAUUUAUUGGAAUAAUAUAUUUUUGCAUUAACAAAAUACUAAACAUUUCUUACAAAAUCUUUGCAAAUUAUAAAAAUACAAUAAGAUAUUUAAGGUUAAAAAUUUUCAUGUGUACAUUAAAAAAAAUUACAAUAUAUGUCACUGUUUAAAAAAUAUUAUGCAAAAUAUUUAAUUUACUAUACAAUUUAUAAUAUAAGAGCAUCUCCAACAACUUAGUAUUUCAACAUGCUAUCCUACCAAAUUUGCUAAAAGCAUAAAAAUCCUCCUCCAACAACUCUUAUCUCAACUUGCUAAAUUUCCCAAGUUGCUAUCCAGAGGUUUCUACUGCCGAAAUUUGUCAAGUUGCUAUCCCAAGUUGCUAUCCCGAGCGCAACUUGUUGGAGACACAUAUUCUUUUACCAAGUGAGCGGGUCCCAUCUGUCAUCCUCUAUUUUUACCAAGUGAGAAUAGCAACUUAUUGGAGACACAUCCUUUUUUCUUUUGCUAAACAAAUUAACAACUUGCUAUAACUCAAGAUUUGACAAGUGAAUUUUACCAAGUUGUUGGAGACGCUCUAAACUGUAUAUAUAAACAAUUGAAAAACCCUAAACUAAAAAACAGGGCCUUUAGCACCGGUCCAUAGUGGGAACCGGUGCUAAAGGGUCCUGAAAAUUUCAGGAGCCCACCCUAGCGCGCGCAGGACCCUUUAGCACCGGUCUGUGGCUGGAACCGGUGCUAAAGGGUCCGCCCCUAUAUAUGUGCGCAGGAGCCCCGGAUCCCGGCAGUUCAUCUUCGUCUUCGUCUUCGUCUCCAGCGCCGCCGGGUUCAUCUUCGCCGCCGUCGUUUCGACUCCCUCGCCGCCGCGACCGUCUCCACCAGCGCCGCCGCGACCCUCCACCAACACCGCCGCGGCCCUCCGCCAACGCCGCCGCCGCGGCCAUCCACCUGCGCCGCCGCAGCGGGCCACCAGCUAGAGCGUGCGCGCGGGCCACAACUUCUCCACGUCGAUCUCAAGAACUCCGGCCGUCGAUCUCCUUUCUCCUAUGUAGAUCAAUCGAACUUCGGCUAAAUAAUCUGCAAAAUGAAUGAAUUGUUAUGAUAUAUAUAUAAUAAAUGUAUCUAUAUGUAUAUAUACUAAAUGUAUAUAAAAAAUAUAUAUUUAUAUAUAUAUGUACAUUUGUAUAUAUUGUGUUUUGAAUUGUUUUGAUAUUGUUUGUACUAUUAUUCUAGUAUUUUAGGGUUUUGUAUUUUAGGGUUUUGUAAUUCUAGUGUUUUGUAUAUUUUAAUUAGGGUUUGUACUAUUAUUCUAUUAUUUUUAGUAUAUUAUUCUAGUAUAUUAGUAAUUCUAGUGUUUUGUAUAUUUUAGGGUUUUGUAAUUCUAGUGUUUUGUAUAUUUUAGGGUUUGUACUAUUAUUCUAUUAUUUAUAGUAUAUUAUUCUAGUAUAUUAUUAAUUCUAGUGUUUUGUAUAUAUAUUAUUGUUUGUACUAUUAUUCUAGUAUUAUUUUAAGUAUAUUUUUCUAGUAUAUUAUUAAUUCUAGUGUUUUGUAUAUAUUAUUGUUUGUACUAUUAUUCUAGUAUUAUUUUUAGUAUAUUUUUCUAGUAUAUUAGUAAUUCUAGUGUUUUGUAUAUGUUAUUGAUUGUACUAUUAUUCUAGUAUAUUAUGAAUUAUAGUGUUUUAGUAUAUUAUGAAUUCUAGUGUUAUUGUUAGUAUUAUUUUUUUAGUAUAGUAAUUCUAGUGUUUUGUAUAUUUUAGGGUUUGUACUAUUAUUCUAUUAUUUUUAGUAUAUUAUUCUAGUAUAUUAGUAAUUCUAGUGUUUUGUAUAUUUUAGGGUUUGUACUAUUAUUCUAUUAUUUUUAGUAUAUUAUUCUAGUAUAUUAGUAAUUCUAGUGUUUUGUAUAUUUUAUUGUUUGUACUAUUAUUCUAUUAUUUUUAGUAUAUUAUUCUAGUAUAUUAUUAAUUCUAGUGUUUUGUAUAUAUUAUUGUUUGUACUAUUAUUCUAGUAUUAUUUAUUUAGUAUAUUAUUCUAGUAUAUUAUGAAUUCUAGUGUUUUAGUAUAUUAUGAAUUCUAGUGUUAUUGUUAGUAUUAUUUUUUUAGUAUAUUAUUCUAGUGUAUUUCUUAUCUUAUAUAGAAUAUAUAUAUGUAUGGUUGCAGACAUAGAAAUGGCUGACCGUGCUCAUGAUGAUCCUGAUUAUAUGGAAGAUGCCAUUCAAAAUAUAAUCGACGACGGUAGUCAGUACUUUAUUGAUUACCACGAGAUCAUGCAAGGCAAUCCUACUGAGCAACAAGAGGGCAAUGCCCCUGAGCAACAAUAGGGCAAUGCGCCUGAGCAACAACUUGUCGUGCAACAAGAAGAAAAUACUGGCGAGGUAUGUAAAUGUAAACAUAUAUAAUUAAUGCAUCUCUUACAUUAGAUUUUAGACUUACUUGGUUAUAAAUUUAGUAUUUUUGUUUCUAUAUCUAGGUGUAGCCUUCUGGUUCGACCUCUACGGGGAGAAGCGUACCUCCACGAGGGCCAAAGAAGCCGUUGGAGGGCCGCUAUGUAAUCUCUGAGUUUGAGAUAGCUACAGGCAGACCACUUGGUGAACAUGCAAAUAAAUAUGUUAGUCACUGUGGAUAUCUUGUGAGAGAUCAAAUACCAAUCAGUGCUCGUGAAUGGAGAGAGAAGCGAGGUGCUCCUAAGAUCAGUUUUGUCUCUGAUCAUGACAAGGAGUUAGUUUGGAAAGCCGUCACAGACGUUUUCACCUUCGACACCAACGAUGAAGAGUUGAAGGUGCGAAUUUAUGACUGGACUAUGAAGAAGAUGGCAGUAGUCUUCCAGAAUUGGAAGAAGACUUUGUACAAUAAAUAUGUCAAGAAAAACGAGACUCCAAAUUUCAACCUCAAGCAAUAUGUAAAGCUGAGGGCCUUCUAGGAUGACUUUGUGCAGUACAAAACAUCAGAAGAGGGCGAGGAACGAGCCAUUAGAAACAAAGAGAAUGCAAGUAAAAAGACAUACCACCAUCAUAUGGGAUCAGGUGGUUAUAAGAGUGUUGUUCCCAAGUGGGACCGAAUGGAACAGGAGAUGCUUGUUAGGGGGGUCACACCCGAGACAAUAGCAAAGAAUUGGAGCGAGCGCUCCAAGCAUUGUUUCUACGGUCAUGGGGAAGCGUGGACCCAGACACCGGGGCGCUAGUUUGGGGCCAAGAAAUCUCUAGAGCAGCAGAGAGACUAGUCCGUGCACGAGAGGCGGUUCAGUCUGGUGAGUUCAGGCCUAACAGGGAGAAGGAUGAACUCACCUAUGCGCUUGAAAAUCCUGAGCACGGUGGGCGUACGAGAGGCUAUGGGGCAGUUCCGUGGCUGCAAUUAUUCCAAGCCGAUCAAGAUACCUACAGAAGCCGCCAGAGAAAGAAGGAUGAGGAGGCAGAGCGGAUCCGCCGCCUGGAAGCUUUUGUUCUGCACUCAGAAGAGCACGAGAAAGCUCGUGAAGAAUGGAUGCAGGCGGAGAUUCAAAGGCAAGUGCAAGCAGCACUUAGUCAAAUGACGAAAGGGCAAGGUACAUCACAGCCUGAGGUCAACGUUAGCCCCCCAGGCCAGUUGAAAAGCAGCUGCGCAUCCAUGGAAGUACCAACCAUUUAGGAUGACACGAAGCUACACUUCCCCGUGGAUGAAGUCACAGAGGCUUUUACUACCUGUGAGGUGCAUGUACCAGAUGGGAAUGCAACAAAAAAGGUGGCUAUCGCUGUUGUCAACCCUAUCGACCGAACGAGAACUCCAAGAAUCCAUAAUCGACCAGUACCUGGUGGAUAUGCUAGCGUCUCGGUUGAUAGGGUUGAGAAAGGUUGUGGUAAUGUGCCUCUAGACAUAGAAGGGGGAGACGGAGAGAAGACCUUAGGUGAAGCUGAGAAGACAUUUAUUUGUUGGCGUAAGCGGUUCAUAAUUAUUCCUCAACAUAGGUUUGUGUGUGAUUUUAAUUCGUAUAUUAUUUAUUAUGUAUUGAAAUUAAAAAAAAAGUUUGCUCACAAAACUUGUAAUUGUUUUCUUUGCAGGGACUCCUCCAACCUAAGUCCAGUUCUCUCCCCAGCGCAUCAUAGUGCUGCGAGCGGUGACAAUGCUGGAUCUCCUCCAACACCUGCGGCGGCCACACCGACCCCGCCACCGCCUCCACCACGGUCUCCACCUCCUCCACCGAGGUCUCCAACUCCUCCACCGUGUUCUCCAACGCCGAAAAGAUCGGCCCCACCACCUCCACCGCCUCCACCACCCUCUCCAAAGAGUGCACUGUUGGUCCCCUCGCCUCCGAAGCGAGGUAGUUGUCGACGGGCCUUAAGUACUAAAAUUAAUAAUCAAAUAAACAUGAAAAAGGAUCAAUAUGAAACAAACAUCUAGAAUUAGGGUUUUAUCUGACAGAAUUCCACGAGCUUUGGUGUUUAUCUAUUUCUGCAGGGGUUUAUCAGAGAAUAUGGAGAGAAGGCCCACAUGUCAUGUUUACAACGAGAUAAUUACGUGCCGCAAAAUUUUCCUCAAUCUAGAAGGGUCCAGAAGCCACGGGAACGAACGGGAAGCGAUUCGGGCUCGGGGGAAAGGCGCCCGCCCACCCCCCUUGGGCGCCCGCCCAGGCCAGGAGUCCAAUCGGGACUCUGCUUUGGGACUACGCUCCACCGACCUAAAGGAUCAAUCUAAACCAUACAAUCUAUGUCGGUUUGAUCCAAUGGCUCAUGUUCACUUAAGGGGACUAUAAAACCAGACCCCCUGGCCCCUGGAGGAGAGAGGAGAAAUCAUUAUUCAGAGGUAGCCAUCAAAGUUAGGGUUUAGAUCUCUCUCCCACAGAGAAUUAGAAUUAGCUACUCCCUAAUCCUUCAAGUUUAGAGGUUGAUUAGAUAGCAAUUAGAGAAGUAGAGCACUACGCUCUGGAUUCGGAUAUUCGGUAAUAAAGAUUGGUAUUAUUCAUAUCUUUCUCUAAUUCUAUUGUUCUAAUUGCAUUAUGUCUCUAAUUAUUAUGUUCUUAGUUUGCUCUAGUUCUAUAUUUGAUAUAGUUCUAAUUGAUAAUGAGUUUAUGUAUAAGUUUGCAAAGCGCUUAGCUCUUGACGCGAGGGAGUUAGGUGAUAGAUCACAUGUGAGCGUGGUGCUUAGAUGUUAUUUAUCUGCAAAUGUAUCCUAUUGGCCGAGUCGUGUGGUAGUUCGCGAUAGUGACAGCUUCGUUGAUUCUUAUAUAGUCCACCCUCCGUUGAUAGGACAGGCAGAACCGGUAUUGUGGAGUAAGUCAUGCGAUGUUCUGAUUUACUUUAUCAAUGUUCCUUAUACAUGAAUGAAGAGUCUUUUAUGCUAUAUAUGAUCUUGAAGAUAACUAGAGUAGAUUAUGACUUAGUAGUUAGUAGAUAAUUUAGAAUCCAUUCUCUAGCUAAUCCGACAUCACCUACAUAUAUGAGGAGUAGCCUAUUUUCUAAUCGCUGUGCUAUCUACCCAUGAACUUAUACUUUAUUAUCAUUAUCUUUAUGGUUUACCCCCUGCUAAAGUAAGUGACUGUGUGACGAGUUUCUCAUUAGUAAUCAUGUUCUUGCAAGUUUAUCUCUAGUCUAUGCCUUGAUAGAUUUUGUCCUUUGAUUUAAUUCCAUCUUCUUGAGAUCCCUAGAGCAAAAUUAUAAAUAACGAUACCUGGAAUACUUAUCCUGGUGAAAUGCUACAAUGAGGUGUUUUAUCUGUACGCUUGCGGAUAGAAUAGAUUAUUUUCUAGAGAGCCUUUACAUUUAUAAAUACCUUUGUACACUCUGGCGUCAUGCUAGGGAUGACAACCUAGUAUCUAAGUGGUGUUAGUUAGUGUCAACAAGCAUUUGUGGCGCCGUUGCCGGGGAUCUUAUAGGAAUUAUAGGAAUUAUAUGAGCCUCAGGAAUAAGUCAUAAUAGGGAACAAAAGGGUAAUAUUAAGGAAAGCCAGAAAAUCAAUCAAGGUUAUUCAUAUAAAAUAUUAGACUAGACUAUAGAGAAAUAAUUGCAUAAAACAGCUACUAAGUGAGAAAUCAUAACAAGGCACCGCUGCUUUGGCAGGUUCACCCUGUUGUUUUUCUAUGUUUAUAUUUUUAUACAGGGUAUAACAGGAUUGACAUUGGGUACAUUCAACUCUUCAUCAUCAGAACCAAAGCAAUCAAGAGAAGAAGAAGCUAGCUACCAAUUGCUGAAGCUAUGGCACAAAAGACCUUGCAAGAAUUCUCUGCUCCAAGUCUUGACAACAUUCCAACUGGUCCAAGAUUUGCAGUAGAAGAAGGAAUACCUGAGUUUGAGCUCAAGUCAAGCCUCAUCAAUUUGGUACAAGCUACACAAUUCAGUGGAAAGGCACAUGAAGAUGCCAGUGCACACUUGCAGAAUUUCUUAGAGAUUGAAAGCACAAUCCACAUCAACGGAGUUGACAAAGACGUCAUACUGCUUCGCCUCUUUCCAUUCUCACUAGAAGGAAAAGCGAGGAAGUGGUUCUACACUCAUCAAGAUAACAUCAACAACUGGACGAACUUGUCAGAUGCCUUUCUAUCAAAGUUUUUCCCUGUAGGCAAAACAACUGCCUUAAGAGGAAAUAUUGUCAGUUUCCAACAGCAGAAGAAAGAAACCAUUUCAGAAGCAUGGGAGCGUUUUCAAGGAUACAUUUCAGAUUGUCCUCACCAUGGAAUGGCCAAGUGGUUACUUAUGCAGACCUUCUACCAUGGAUUAACCCAGAAGGCUCGUGAGUGCCUAGAUGCAUCUGCUAAAGGAUCAUUCUUGGAACUUACAACUAGAAAAGCAGAGAUAAUUUUGGAUAAGAUAGCAGAAAACCCAAGUUGGUUCCAAGAUAAAGCUCAACAUUGUCAUCAAACUGAAGAAAUACCCGAAGAAGUAAAUGUGUUAUCAAGUAAGAUGGAAAAUUUGCUCCAUUGGAUUGACCAGAGGGCCAAGUUCAAAGAAGAUCACAGGGCCAUUGAGACAGCAUACAAAUAUCAACCAACUUCGAGUCAACCCAAUAGCAAAGGUAUGAAUUCAGGUAAUACUUUCAAGCAACUUUCAUUAAAAGAGAUAAUUGCUCAACAAACCAAAAUUAAUGAUGAAGUUAAGCAAAGGCUAGAUACAAAUGAAUCGUCUCUAAAAGAUAUACACAACAAAAUGGAUUUUCUACUAACUGCCUUUGAUGAGCAAAACACUCUUAAUAAAAGGGUAGAGCUUAAAUUAAUAAAGUUAGCUGCUGCACUGCCUGUUGCUACUAACAUUGAGCAGGUAAAGAAUAUAACUACUAGAGGAGGUAAAGCCACCAGAGAUCCACCAUACCCAAAAGAGAAACAAAGAACAUCAGCACCAGUGCAACCAGCAGUGAUAGAAGAAGAAAGCCCAGUUGAAGCAGAAGAUCUGCUACAACCACCAAGAACUGGAGAAAUGAGGAAAGAUUUUUACGACACCAACUAUUUGCCAUUUCCCAGAAGAAACAGAGGACUGCAGUCGGAUGAGCAGUUUGGUAAGUUUGUAGAGGUCAUUCAGAAAUUAUAUGUCAACAUACCUCUACUUGAUGCCAUACAGGUACCUACAUAUGCAAAGUACAUCAGAGAUAUUCUUAAUAAAAAGAGACCACUGCCCACCACUGAGGUUAUCAAGCUGACAGAAGAAUGUAGUGCGGCCAUCCUCAACAAACCACCAAAGAAGAAGGAAGAUCCAGGAUGCCCCACUAUUGACUGCUCGAUCGGAAACCAACACUUCAACAAUGCACUUUGUGAUUUCGGAGCAAGUGUCAGUGUGAUGCUAGCAUCAGUCUACAAAAAGCUUAAUCAUGCAAACUUAGAACCAACAUCAAUGUGCCUACAACUAGCGGAUCAAUCGGUUCGACACCCGUUGGGCAUCGCCGAGAACAUUCCAGUCAAGAUCAGAGAUUUCCUGGUGCCAGUAGACUUCGUAGUACUGGACAUGAGUCCUGACUCAAAAGUGUCCAUCAUCCUUGGAAGGCCAUUUCUGAGCACUACCAAUGCCCACAUUGAUGUCGGAAAAGGAGAAAUCAAGUUCAACAUAAACGGUCAAGAAGAACACUUCACAUUCAAACCCAGAUUAGAGAGAGACUCUACAGUGAAGGAAGUUCAUGAAGAACCACUGGAGACACCAUCUCCGGAGGAAGGAAACUCAGAAGAUUAAAAGAUUUGGAGGUCCAGCUUGGGGGACCUAAAAAUCCCAAACCCUCAUCGGGAGGUAAAUCGGUAUUUAUCCGCAUUAUUAAUUUUCUCAUAUUUAAUUUCUUGCAUAAUUAAAUCUUGCAUUAGUCACAUUUAUUCAUAGCAUUAUUAUAAUAAUCAAAAAGCCCCAGAUAAAUAAUAUUCGUGGUGUGUAACAACCCAUAUUUAUUAAUUAUUGUGGGGGCACAAAAAUAUUUUCCAAUAUCAUUUUCAAUAAGUUUCGAUUCUCAUAGAUUUUCCUGCAUUAUAUUUAUUUAUAUUGAUCUUCUAGAAGCAUGACCCACACUCUUUGGGUCCCACAUGUCAUACACUUCACCUCACAUACAUCCCAUCAUAUAAUUUCAUCCACCAAUAUGUUUCCACUCACCUGACAUCUUUCCACCGUCCAACCACUAUCAACACAAUAUUAUUCUGCGUGAGAUCAAAGCAAGGAAGCAAGUGGAGGAGGCACACCCAGGAUGGACACCAGGGGUGGGCGCCCGCCCACCUACCAUGGGCGCCCGCCCUGUCCCCUGCUCAGCCUAUAAAAGGCCACCUCCAGCUCCCCUUCUCUUCACACAAACACUUCAAAAAACCACACAAAUCUCAGUUUCCCGAGAAGGAGCUUUUGUAGUGAAGAGAAGAGAGUAGAGAGAAAGAGGAGAGUGGAUGGGAAGGUUGGAGUUCUUUUGAGAGAGUGAUUGUCACCUAGCAAGUAGUGAUCCCGUUGUCUAAGCGGAAGUAAAAGUUGUUUAGGGGGAGGCUCUACCAAAAUAGAAAUUUGUUUUGAACGAUUAACCCCUGGACUACUGACACUCGGACAGCUGACCACUAACAUUUUAUCUCACAUUUUCCACCAGUUGUGUUUUUGCCAACUUCUGUUUGCAGGAUGUUUAAGAAGGUGAAGAAUGCAGGGAAGGCUCUCAAGAACAUUGGUACAAGGAGUUCAACCCGACACUCCUCACAGCCAUCAGAGAUGAGCGUCGACCCGACACCCACACAAGCUCCAUCAUCUUCAUCAGGCCAGCAAGUCAAGGUCCUUCUCAAGAUAGGAGACCUUGGACUGAAGACCCGAAGAGAGAAAGAAGUUUAUCAGCAAUUGAAGAACAAGGAUUUCAUUCACACCCCUACUAUCGAUCCAAUCCUACUACGAGAAACAGGUAUGGACACUGAAUUUGACUUAAUUUUUCAGAUGAUAGGUUGGACAAAUUUUUGGAAUAUAACUGAGCUGGGUUCUCGUCUUCUCACCCUCGAAUUUCUUUGCACUUUACAAUACUAUGAGGGGGGAAUUGUUUUUCGGAUGUUUAAACAGGAAAUUAUGUUAUCUUGGAGAGAGCUGAGCGACCAUCUUGGUUUCUCUUCAAGAUGCAUCCUGAACAUUGACUCCGAUUUACCCAAUUUUGAGAGACACCAGAUUUGGAGAGAAAUAUCUAGAGAUAAUUUUUACAGUCAAGCCCGAACCAGUGACAUGGAACACCCCACUCUUAGGAUGUUCCACAAAUGGCUUGGGUACAAUCUUUUCUAUCGCGAUGAUAUUAGGAAAGUAAGAGUAGGAGAUUUACAACUUUUAUAUGCUGCUAUUAGUAAAGUACCUACUUCACCUGUUACACUAUUAGUUUCACAUUGGCUUAGUAUACCUAGUCUUCAGGGACCAGUAGGAUGUACUUCACUUAUCACUCGUCUAGCCACUAAUCUUCACUUACUAGAAAACUCAUCGUUGGACUUCAUAGAAGAAUUAAGAAUUUAUCAUGGCUAUGACACAUUUAGACAAGCUCGGAUGUUAAAGAAAGAGGGGAAUAUAAUGUAUAUGCUAUAUGAUGAUAAAGGCAAGAUUUGGUUACCUAACCCGAACCUUGGCCUCUACUCUGUGCAAAACUUUUUGAUUGAGAUUGCAGCAACACCAGUGAACUAGAGAAGUCCACAGCGAGUGGCAUCAGAAAGGAUAACCACUCACCGAGAACGCACUUGGUAUGGAGCUGACCCUGGACCAGAAGAAGCAGCGCACCUGCAUUAUUGCGAUUACAAUCCACGAGUCCUUCGAGACCCAUGGGCUCGUCAUGCCACAACCACAAGAGCCAACAGAAGAGACAUGGCCGGAGAGCCAAGAUCACCAGUGGACAAACCCGCCUUUUCAUACGGGCAGAUACUCCACUGAUCCAUAUGGAGCUUCAGGAUCCAGACCUCCACCCCAAUUUGAUGGAGGACGAUACUCCGACGCCUCCUACGCCUUCACGAAUGACUACUAUCAAGAGGCCGGUGCUUUCUUCACUCGUACCGACAACACCCUCCUCGACAUCCAGAACACGCAAGCAGAACAUGGAAGACUCCUGGAAGAGCAACAAAAAUGGAACCUGGACCAUGCCGCUGCGGUACAAGAGCUGAGACAAGAUACAACAACAAUGAAUGAUAACAUCACAACCAUAAUGCGGUUCUGGAACAUCGGGUAAGACCCACGUCAACAUCCAGCUUGGGGGAGUUCCUCCCUAAUUUAUCAAGUAAGUUUUUAUUUGCUCUUCUUAUUUAUUCUAUUCUGUCUUAGUAUUUUAUUUAUCUUAAAAGAAAAAACUUAGAAAACCAAAUAAAUAUUUUCUUGCUUUAAUUUACUGCACUUUAUAAACAUGAAAACAAAAUAAAAAGAGUGCCUAGAUAAGUGUGUUUUAUUUUUCUACUAAGUUUAAUCUCUAAAAAAAUAAAAAGACCAAAAAUAUGCAUGAUGGAAAUGAUGAACAGUGGCUCUGUUUGCUUACUUACAAGUACCUAGCUUUUAUAUUAGAAUUCUUCCAGGAAUUACUAAAACUAAAAUUACUAUCUUUGGGAAGCAUAAAACUAAAGUCUAGGUAAGAGAAAGGCAUGAUAUAAAGUUGAGCUACUGUUUAUCUUGUUUCUACUACACUAAGUUCUGGAGAUUUAUUUUGAAAACUUACAAGUCACAUGAUGAGUUCCUAGCAUAACAAACUACCUACCACAGCCAUACUUGCUAUAACAUCUUUUACUAUAUUUACAUUGAGUUUGAUCGAGCUGUGUAGACCCUUAGGAGCUUUUCAUGUGGUUAAAUUAAGAUAUUCACUUGCACACAUCUACCACAGCAUUCAUCAUCAAUCAUUAAAAUUGCUAAAAAUAUUAUCACUCACUGUCCCGAAUAUUGUUAUUCUCUCUCUCUAAAAAGAUUCAAUGCAGAAGAGGCAUGGGUUAUGUAAAAAUAUAUACGAGGAAAUAAAAAGGGGCAAGUGCCCGGGAACCUCGAAAAAGAAAGAAAAAGAGUGAGACGAGAGGUAAAAAUGGACAAGUGUCCGAAGUAGAAUUAGGGGUACAAAGAUGCCCGCUUGAGCGGAAAAAAUGGACAAGUGUCCGACAGUAGAAUUAGGGGUAUCUAUUACCCACCUGAAAAAAAAAGAAGAAGAAGAAGAAAGAAGAAAGAAAAAGAUAGCCCAUGUUCUCCCAAAGCAAAGAUCAAAAAUAAGAGGAGAGAUAGCAAUAUGAGGAGCAAUGAGAACUAAGAUUUAUUAACACUAUUGCAUUUUCACCAUCACUAUCAUUUACUCCACCACACAUGCACAUCUUGAUUUAAUUAUAUGCUGAGUUCCUUUGGAUCCAUGGCUCAAUUAGACAACAUAUGUAUGAGCUGUUUUCCACUCCUAUGAGCUCCACUUAAAUAUUCUAUUAGCUAUAGGUAAGUGACAUUAUGGUAAGGAUCCACAAAUACCACAUAUAGAGAGACUUGAGAGAUCAUUGCUGGGAACUCUGAGUUUUAUUUUGAAAACUUAGGAAAAACUCUAGAACAAAGGUGAAGUAUAGACAAGAGGGAUAGUGCUUGACUUAACUAUUUUGUCUUUUGAUUACAUAAGAUUUAAGUGCAGGUACUAAACUCCAUAACACUUCACUCUAAUCUGGAAGAAUUUUUAUGUAAAAGCAUGUGUGCCUGUCAGGAAAGAAAACAUCGAAGCAACUCCUGAUCCGUCUAAGUUUAGCUAUUUGCUCAGGGACGAGCAAAGGGUAAGCUUGGGGGAGUUUGUUGACGGUCCUUAAGCACUAAAAUUAAUAAUCAAAUAAACAUGAAAAAGGAUCAAUAUGAAACAAACAUCUAGAAUUAGGGUUUUAUCUGACAGAAUUCCACGAGCUUUGGUGUUUAUCUAUUUCUGCAGGGGUUUAUCAGAGAAUAUGGAGAGAAGGCCCACAUGUCAUGUUUACAACGAGAUAAUUACGUGCCGCACAAUUUUCCUCAAUCUAGAAGGGUGCAGAAGCCACGGGAACGAACGGGAAGCGAUUCGGGCUCGGGGGCAGGGCGCCCGCCCACCCCCCUUGGGCGCCCGCCCAGGCCAGGAGUCCAAUCGGGACUCUGCUUCGGGACUACGCUCCACCGACCUAAAGGAUCAAUCUAAACCAUACAAUCUAUGUCGGUUUGAUCCAAUGGCUCAUGUUCACUUAAGGGGACUAUAAAACCAGACCCCCUGGCCCCUGGAGGAGAGAGGAGAAAUCAUUAUUCAGAGGUAGCCAUCAAAGUUAGGGUUUAGAUCUCUCUCCCACAGAGAAUUAGAAUUAGCUACUCCCUAAUCCUUCAAGUUUAGAGGUUGAUUAGAUAGCAAUUAGAGAAGUAGAGCACUACGCUCUGGAUUCGGAUAUUCGGUAAUAAAGAUUGGUAUUAUUCAUAUCUUUCUCUAAUUCUAUUGUUCUAAUUGCAUUAUGUCUCUAAUUAUUAUGUUCUUAGUUUGCUCUAGUUCUAUAUUUGAUAUAGUUCUAAUUGAUAAUGAGUUUAUGUAUAAGUUUGCAAAGCGCUUAGCUCUUGACGCGAGGGAGUUAGGUGAUAGAUCACAUGUGAGCGUGGUGCUUAGAUGUUAUUUAUCUGCAAAUGUAUCCUAUUGGCCGAGUCGUGUGGUAGUUCGCGAUAGUGACAGCUUCGUUGAUUCUUAUAUAGUCCACCCUCCGUUGAUAGGACAGGCAGAACCGGUAUUGUGGAGUAAGUCAUGCGAUGUUCUGAUUUACUUUAUCAAUGUUCCUUAUACAUGAAUGAAGAGUCUUUUAUGCUAUAUAUGAUCUUGUAGAUAACUAGAGUAGAUUAUGACUUAGUAGUUAGUAGAUAACUUAGAAUCCAUUCUCUAGCUAAUCCGACAUCACCUACAUAUACGAGGAGUAGUCUAUUUUCUAAUCGCUGUGCUAUCUACCCAUGAACUUAUACUUUAUUAUCAUUAUCUUUAUGGUUUACCCCCUGCUAAAGUAAGUGACUGUGUGACGAGUUUCUCAUUAGUAAUCAUGUUCUUGCAAGUUUAUCUCUAGUCUAUGCCUUGAUAGAUUUUGUCCCUUGAUUUAAUUCCAUCUUCUUGAGAUCCCUAGAGCAAAAUUAUAAAUAACGAUACCUGGAAUACUUAUCCUGGUGAAAUGCUACAAUGAGGUGUUUUAUCUGUGCGCUUGCGGAUAGAAUAGAUUAUUUUCUAGAGAGCCUUUACAUUUAUAAAUACCUUUGUACACUCUGGCGCCAUGCUAGGGAUGACAACCUAGUAUCUAAGUGGUGUUAGUUAGUGUCAACAGUAGUCAGAAGCGGUCCGCGCAAGAACGACCGAAGUCAUCGGUCCCACCUCCAAAGGAGGCUGCCUCAGCAAAGAGAGCUAAGACGCCAGAAAAAUUAUCUUAUGAAAAGAGUGAAGAGGAGUUAACUGCUGCAUCUAAAAGCUGAGGUCAAACAAUUUUUUGAUAAAUUGAAGGAGGAUAGUAAAAAGGGCGAAACCCAGAAAAGCCGUACUUUUUUGUAAAGCCAUCGGAACUGAGGCAGAAGGUGGCGGACCAGCAAAAGAAGCAACGCGAAGCUCAGAAAAAGCCAGCACUUUCGGACUAUGAGCGGUCUCUGGUCAAGUCUUCACAGGCUACGAAGAGAGUAGGAAAGGGGGUCCCACAGCUCGGAGAAGUAUCAAAGCCGGUGCCCCCUUUGAUUGUGACAAAUCAAUACGGCUCAAAUGAAGACUUGAUGCCAAAGAAAUCCUUAGCGUUGUCUGAGCUAUACUCGCUUGAGCGUUACUUUGGACAGAGCGGAUUAAAUAUUGAAGAAAUUGCCGCUAUUCUUGGUUGCCAAACAUUUGAAAAAGCUGAGGUAGUUGAUCAAUGGAGGGCAAGAUAUGAACCGAGCAGGAGUCUAUUCGACCCUCAGCGUUUACAUGAGCUCGGCACACAAAUGUUUGCAAUAAACAAAUGGUGCAUUGAGGCGUCUAAAAGGGGAGACAAUUGGAUUUCUGUUCGUAUUAGACAACAUCACUACUUCCGUGGAGAUGACCUCAUAUACGUGCAGUUCGAAGAAUUGCACCAUAAUGUCACCUCGACGCUCUCGACAAAUCUCUUGUCAGCUGCUUUUGUCUGUAAGUAUUUUUUUCUUUUUAUUAUACUUCUAACUUCUUUAAUUACAUGUAUAUAAUCCUUACACACUUAGGAUUUGUAUGUAUAUAUGCAGGCACCAAAUGAGAGAGCUCAGAAUGAGAAAUGACAAUAGUAUUGGGUUCGUUGACCCUUGUAUUGUUUUCAAGGCUCAUGAGACAAUAGCAGCUCAUGAGACAGAAGUCUGCACCAAUCUUAUGAGGUUCUUUGUGAACCAAAAAGAAAAACAAAAAAUACUCUUCCCCUUCAACUUCGAGUGAGUUAUAUAGUUAUUAAGUGCAUGCAUAUUUUAUUUUACUUAUUAUUACUCGAGACAAGUUUUAUAUAGUUAUAUAUAGGCCUGACUAUAUAUAUGUGUGUAAACAGCUUUCACUAGAUACUCAUGGUCAUUGAAAUUCCCAAGAACCGGUUGAUAAUCUUUGACUCAAUGAGAAAACCACAAGAAAAUUAUCAACAAAUGGUAAACAUUGUUCAAAGAUACGUAUAUGUCGAUCUCAGCUAGAAGAAUAUCAUAAUAUGACUCUGUAAUUAUUAGUUCACGAUCUACAAUGGCUGUGUGUAGGGUUUGGGAAAGAUUCAUUGACCGUGAACAUCUCAGUGGACAUAAAGCGCCGCUUAACAUAAUACAUCCACAAGUAAGUUCUACUAGCUAGCAAACUUUCGCUAACUUUUAGCCUUCUUAUUGUCGUGGUCGUGAAUAUUUUAUGUAUAUAUAUAUAUCGUGCAGUGGUGUUUAAGACAAGAAGGGGGGAACAAUCUAUGUGCAUAUUAAGUGUGCAAAUUCAUGAUGGCACAAGUCCAUCAAACACCCACAGAGACGCUCAGAGUACGUUACAUGUCUCUUUUCAUUAUCUCCUGAAUUAUAUUGAAUAACUUAGAUAACUAAUACCUUUUUUAUUUAUUUCAAAUUAAAGACGGAAUGGUUGAGGGAAAAGGUCCUACAAAAAGACCGAAUCAAAGCUAUCCAAGAGACGAUAGCAGGAUUUCUCCGUGAGCAAGUGAUCAAUCCAAACGGCGAGUUUCACUUCAACGGCAACGAAACUCUUAUUCCAAACAACGAUGAUCAUUUGUAUCGUUUGUAGACAUUGGGAGAAAAAACUCUAUGUAUAUAUGUAUUACGAAUUUUGUACAUAUAAAACUAUAUCUAUAUAAAGCUUUUUACAUAUCUAUUUAAUUUUUGAUGUGGUCUAUUCAUUUUAUUAUAGACAAAGCUUAAUUAUUAAGCUAAGCCUAUAAUUUUCAUUUAUAUAUGCUUAAUAUGCGUGUAAUAUACAUAUAUUAUUGUAUCAGCAAAAACAUGUAUUGAAAAACCUAUUAUUAUAUAUUAUAUACAAAUAAUAAACAGAACCGAAGAAGUGAACUAAAAAAGAAACCCUUUAACACCGGUUGGUAAUACCAACCGGUGUUAAAGGGUCCUGCACCGUGGCAGCCCUGGCAGGACCCUUUAACACUAGUUGGUAUUACCAACCGGAGUUAAAGGCCGGGUCUUUAGCCCCGGUUACCCGAACCGGAUAAAGGGUGGCCUUAUCCCGAAGGCAGCACCGGCUCGGGAACCGGGGCAACAGGCCCUUCCCGACCGGUGCUAAUGCCCGAACGUGUGGCAGUGGCUGAAACAAAAUCUAAAUCUGAACGGGAUCAAAAUUACCAAACUUUAGGACCUUUUCUCUCCUGAACCAUUGAUAGUUAGACCUGAAACCUUAAACCAAAAUG
rnacentral:lncRNA from 1 species